rnacentral:rRNA from 1 species
UACGUAGGGUGCAAGCGUUGUCCGGAAUUAUUGGGCGUAAAGAGCGUGUAGGCGGUUUGGUAGGUCCGCUGUGAAAACUCGAGGCUCAACCUCGAGACGCCGGUGGAAACCAUCAGACUAGAGUCCGGAAGAGGAGAGUGGAAUUCCUGGUGUAGCGGUGAAAUGCGCAGAUAUCAGGAGGAACACCGAUGGCGAAGGCAGGUCUCUGGGCCGAUACUGACGCUGGAGGAGCGAAAGCGUGGGGAGCGAACAGG